ACUUCUCUCUCAAACUCUCUAGUGUAGCAAAAAAGCAACAAAUUUUUGGAAUUCAUUUUAUUCUUGGAUUUUCUUCUUAGAAGGAUAAACCGUUUGUUCGUUCUCUUGGAUUGUUCCAAUCUUUACUCGUACGUUCUUACAAGAAAUCGCAACGCAAUCAACGUUGAAGAUGAUGAUUGCUAUGAAAUGAAGUAGCGAUGAUACCUAGAAACACAUUUAGACGUGUUAGUUUUAAUAUGACUUGAUGUUUUUAUG